rnacentral:lncRNA from 1 species
GGGGUCAUAAGGUCACAGGGGAUUAGUAAUUCAUAAGAGAGGCCCCAAACAGCUGCCUUCCCCUCCUCCUUCUGCCACGUGAAAACACCCAAAAGCCUCUUGCCAUGACGUAGAUACAGUCUACCUUGAUCUUCAGCCUCCAGGGCUGAGAAAUAAGAGUCUGUUUAUGGCUCAGGGUUAGAGCAGCCUGGACGAGGCUUCUAAGUUUCUGAGAGUCUGUGGCACCUGGCAGAGCUGGUUGUGGGAGUGAAAAAAAUGAUCACUCAAUCUUCAGUCCGUCUUCCGCAAAGGUCUGCCCUCAGUGUUCUACCUGGCUGAGAUGCUCCAAUGACGCCCGAGAUGAGAGCAGCCUGGCGUAGCUGCUACAACUGGGGGAUUCUCGGUUCUUUCUGGACACCGGUGUCUCAAGUUCCAAGGCCAGCUCUUCUGAGGCGAAGGUGGACCCCUCUCUGAGUCCCACACUGAAGUAGGCUUUUGUAGCCUGGAAACAUCCAAAGCAACAGAAGAACAUUCUACCCAGGGAAUAGUUGCAAUGGCUUGAGAAGACUACUUCCAAGUUCUCACAGCCUUGACCCCACCUGUGGUCAAGCCGUAUACAAUAAACGACAGAACAGUUGGACAAUCUGCAACUCGCUGAUUACAAAAGAAAAAAAAGAAAAGGAAAAUGUACCGUGAAGUUUGGAAUGCUGCAGUGGUAGCCAGAGGAUCUCUAGUAGAGCCGUUUCCUUAGGGUAGAGCUAUAGGGUAGAGCAAGAGUCCGACUCCUGAUUCUCUGGGCAUGGAUACCAAAUGUCCUCCCCUGCCAAAUAGGUAGCUCAGCUAAAAAUUCCAGAAAACUGGUCCUUCUAUAGCUUGUCUCCUUACACUGCGGAUUCCAGCGCUUCAAAGCUUCCAGCCUAAUCCUGCUUCUUGGAUUAAGUGUUAGCUGCAGGCUCCUCUCUGGGUGGCCUGCCUCAGCCAGACAACUACUUUUAGGAUCAAAAUGAUAAUAUUUUGGUUUUGGUUAGUCCAUCUCAACCUCCCAAAGCAAGCCAAGGAGUGAACGAAGAGAGAACAAUCAACAGUUUGGUCCAAAGCCUGAUGUCGAGUAGUACAGACCCU